AAACAUCUUUUUUUGAAUUUUAUUUAAGAUAUAACCUGCCCUAUGAUUUAUUUAAAUGGCCGCGGUAUACUGACUGUGCAAAGGUAGCAUAAUCAUUAGUUUAAUAAUUGUAAACUUGUAUGAAAGGUUGGACGAGAUAUUGACUGUCUAUUUUAUAUAAUUGAAUUUAAAUUUUAAGUUAAAAUGCUUAAAUGUUUUUAUAAGACGAGAAGACCCUAUAGAUCUUUAUUAUUUUACUAUACUUAUUUUUUAGAUUAAUUAUUUAUUUAUAGUAUAAUUGUUUUGUUGGGGUGACAUGGAGAUAAAUGAAUAACUCUUUAUUUUUAUAUACAAUGAUUUUUGAUUUGAUGAUUUUAUUUUAAUAAUAUAAGAUUAGAUACCUUAGGGAUAACAGCGUAAUUUUUUUUGAGAGUUCAUAUUGACAAAGAAGUUUGCGACCUCGAUGUUGGAUUAAGAUUAUUAUUAAGUGAAGAUGCUUAAUUAAUAGGUCUGUUCGACCUUUAAAUUCUUACAUGAUCUGA
rnacentral:rRNA from 1 species